GGGCUGCUGUUCAAACCUCUUCAAAGCCUAUGCCCACCCAAAAACUCUGUGAAAAAAAAAUCUGUGUUAAAUUGACCGAGAAUAGAUUUUCACCUCUGGGAACGUCAAUCAAGCAUUCACCAAAUAUUUUUUGAGAACUUACUAUGAUCUCAAAAUACUAACCCCCCCCCCAAGGCUUAAUCCCAGACUCUUACCUGUGGCAUAAAUCAACAUAUUUCAAUCCCAAAUAAGUCUGCUCCAGACUCUCUGAUAAGCGAGUCCACACAUCCAGAUGCACCCACUUGUGAUUCUCAAAGGGAACCUCCAAGUGAGCAUUUCCCACAGUGAAACUCAUCAUCUUCCCCUCCCAGUGUGCUUCUUAUUGCACACGUCCUUGGAUGUCACUCCAAACAGCUGCUUAGGGAAGCCAUUCUUGACUCCUGUCUGCCUCCCUUAUCUCCUGAAAGUGCAGUCAAUUGUUUUAUCCUCUGAAAUUUUACCCCACCUGUAAAGUCAGUCUCCUCUGCCACCUCUUUGUCAGGACUGCCAUCAUGCCUCACCUGGACUGCAUCAUGGAUGGACCUUCUCCCUGGUCUGUCCAUACAUUUUCUCCACUCCUCUAAAAACUCUCCACUUGCCAGAGACAUCUUUUCAAACACCAGACUUGAUCUGGGGACUCCACACCCAAGAACACAUUCAUGACUUGCCAUUGUUCCUGGGAUGGAUUUCAACACCUGUCGUGUCCAGACAUCUUUCCAGGAACCUGGGGCUUUUCUAGGUCUCCAGGAGCACUUGGCAUUAUCCUUUUCUUUUAGAAUUAAACCUCAGCCAUGCUGGAAUUCUCUAAUUCGGUGCACCUUCCCUGCUUCCAGCACGGGGGUCACCCUUCGUGUCUGCAGAAAGCAUGCCAAACUUCCUGUUUGCCUCUGAAACUCUUCGUCUUCCCUGAGACGCAAACCUUACUUCCUUAGCCCAGCCAUGGCUAACCCCGUGGUGUGAUUAUUUCUCAACAACAGUGUUGAUAAUUAAAGAUUAAUCGGGUCAUGAUUUAUUUAUUGCCUACUUCCUGGUAAAAGUCUGUUUUUCCUUCUGUGGUAGCUGUUUCCUCUAGCAUAGUACUUUACACGUGGUCGAUGCUCAAUAAAUAUGCCUGAUUCAAAGACAUCAAAUGAAUGCAUCCUGGUGAAUGAAUUAGACCCAGUCUGAGACGGUCCCUAAAUUCCUAAACUUGUGUGUGUCUAUUAUAUUCACAUGUGCUUUGGUUGUAGAAAGUUCUUUCAUCCAAGUCCCAAACACAGUGAUUCUUUGUCUUUUAGUAUUUACUCGUGCUGGUUUACAAGGAGAGGGCAGCUUCAUUUCAUACUGACCUAAACUUGUUUAUCUUCCUUGAUAGUUCAGGCACGGUUUUUCCUUUAUAAUUCAGUUUGAAAAAAUAUUGAAAGAGAAUGGGCAUGUAUUUUCCUUCCAUUUGCCCAGAACUCAACAGAUCUGCAAAUUCUAUGUAUACUUGUUGUUAUGAAGCUCAGGCGAGUUUUUCUCAAUUAUAUUUUUGAUACUUUUGGGAGGUGAAGGAAUGCAUCUUGCGGUGCCUGUUCCUACUUAAGUUUGCUGGAAGCUUCUCUCAUUCCUGCUUUGCCACUUUUAGAAGUUUAUGGAAUGUGUUUUCCUGGGUUUUUUUGUUUUGUGUUUCAGCACUGAUAAUUCUGUUAGUUUUUACAUUUGUUUUCUUUCUGUUUAUGCUGUUCCUUGGUGCCUCUGGUGUUUAUUGAUUUCCUUCUCCUAUCAUUAUUUUCUCACUGCAUCUUAAAUGUUACCUAAAUAACACAUGGUUAAAACCCCACGAUGUUCCUUGUUUUAAUAAAAUGAAUAAUCAAAUAAAUAAUACAAGAGGAGGCCACAGAAGGAUCAAUAACAAUAGUUCUUUUCAACUUAGGAAUUUAAUUAAUCCAACAUGUACUCUUAAGAUCCAGGACUCUCUUAAUUGUUUAGUGUGCUGUGAACAAAAUACGGUCUCAAAUGGACCUUUAAAUCCUGCUUGGCUCUCAUCUCUCAAAUUUAGCAUAAUCGUUUGCAUCUCCUUUUGGUUGCCAUUAGAAUAAAGAGCUUCCUCCAGAAUUGACAUCAAAUAAAUGGGAAAGCCAUGUUUACUUGAGUCAUAACUAAGGACACAUGGUAAGCACAGGCAUUAUGAAGAUAAAUAGAGCAUUAGAGUAAGUAAUGAGGAAGCAAAGCCACGACAGAGAAGGGGCUGCAUUCUGAUAUAGAAUAUAGCUUACCUAGCACUCUAAUUUGUUCUUGACCUACUUUGUGUUACUCGUAUUUGUGAAGCGUCGGAAGGAGAAUGACUAAACAUCAUGAAUCAAAUUAUUAAAAUAAUAUGGUUACCAGCAGAAAUUGUUUGCUGAAACAAUUAAAUUCUUCCUAGCUCACCUUGCGGUGCUGUCAAAAGAGCACAGACUUCUUGGUUAAGUAAAAGCAGGCAUCACUUUUCACCUCCUCUUUUCUAAGUUGCUUCAAGUCAGGGAUCUCUUCUUAAAUGCAGCACCCUCAUGUAUAACAUGGUCACAGCGUUGGGGAAUGGCUCGGAUCGUCGGUGUCGGAAAAUGAGACACAUGAACACGGGGAGAUCUCGACAAGGCUCUUUGCUUCUGCAGAAGGGCGCAGGCACUCAAAACGCGUGCAAAGAAGAAAAGACCCUCCCUAUGUAUCCCUAACACAGGUGAUGCACCUGCCCCCUUCCCAUGGGUCAGAUCAGGGCACACAUUCUUCUCAGUUGGCUAAUUUGAAACAAAUUGUUACUGGGAGAAGAAGGAAAGAGGAGGGGGGGUUGCAGGAAGGUGUUUCAGCCAAAACUGGAGCAAAAUGGAGUCACCAAGAUUUCCUUUGAUAAAAAAGACAUUAUGUUACUUUUCACAAUAGGAUUACCUGUGGCGGUGGGUGGUUCUAGAUCUUAAGUGUGCAUCCAGGGAUCCCCCGGCCCUACCCUUCAGAGUUUCUCAUCUCUAAGUCUGAAUUGAGGCUCCGAAUUUGCAUUUCUGUUGGGUACCCAAGUGAUCUGGGGACCACCAUUCGAGGAGAUAACCUUUUAAUUGUUCAGAAGCCUGAUGAGAAGCUUGAGACUCUUGCCCCAGAGAUGCUGGGUGAAGUGACUUCAGAUGACUGGAGUGGUGGUGAUUCAGCUUGUACCUGCUGGGUAACCAUUAGUCUCCAGAAAGCUUUUGGCUCCACAUGUGGUGAUAUGCUUAGACCAAGUUGGGUCUAUUUCUUUGUAUAUGUAUUUGUUUUCAUUCUCUUUUCAUAGCCAAAUAUUCUGAGUCCCCGAAGGAACCCGAAUUGGUCAAUGGGUGUUUGCUUGCUUGUUGGAUGACUACAUACAUUUAAGCCUUGACUAAGGGAAUGUAAGCCCAUCCCCCUGCAGAAUCCAGGCCUCAGUGUCUAGGGUAAUUGAGUGUUACCUUUCCCACGCCUGGUAUCUCUAGGGGCCCACAGACCAUUCCACCGCUGGAGUUGGGUAAAGGCAGUCCAUAGACAAAAUUCCCUUAAUUAAACCGUGUUUUGCCUCUGUCAGCGUCUGAGAAUAAGCACUUUUUACCUAAGAUCUUAUCUUUAUCAAUGUUUCAUAUUUAUAAUCUAAGUUUCGCGAGUCUCAUAAUCAUUUGUGUAUCUAUUAAUGUGCAAAUACUUAGCCAAAUAGGAGACCAGAAAGUCUUUGAAAGGACGAGUUUCCUAGGUCAUUCCCAAGUUUUGAAAUUGCAAAUAAUUCUCCUAAAGCUACCCCAGGCCUAUUUUCUUAAAAUGCAAAGAAAUCUCCACCUAAAAGAGUCCUUUGUGCAGGGAAUAAACAAAGACGUUAGGCUUCUUAUGACAUUUAGAAAAAUUGGAGGAGGCCCUUUCUGAUACUGGAUCAUUGUAGAAAGCAGGUCUGGUCCUAAAUACAAGAGUCUUAAGUCACUUUCGAAGAUCUCAGAGUGCAUAUUCAGUAUUACUUUGACAUACUCUUUCUUUAAUCAACAUUUGGUGAGUGCUAAUAUAUUUUAGGCUGUGGGUUAGAUUUGGGGUAUGAAGAUCAGCAACACUUCGACUCCGGAUGUGAGAAAGUGACUUGACAACAGUCCUUUCAUUUUGGCUCUUUAGUGGGAGCCCCAAAAAGUGGAGUAUAGGCAAAGUGGAAUAAUCAGUAUGAUGAGGGUAGGGGGUUGACCAACCAAUUAGGGAAAACUUUAGAUGGAGCUUAAGGGAUCAGAAUUGUCUGCAACCGUCUAUUUGUAAUAGAUAAGAGGAUUAGACAUAAGUGAUUUUUCUAAGUCAUACAUCAUAGUUCCAGCCACAUGCAAUACCAGACCUGAGCCAUGUCUGCAGUCUACACUUAGCUGUGGCCCUUCUGGAUCCUUAACCCACCGAGCAAAGGCCAGGGAUCAAACCUUCAUCCUCAUGGAUACUCCUCAGGUUCUUAACCCACUGACCCGCAAGAGGAACUUAGAAAAUUUAAAUUAUAAAAUUUAUCCUUCUGAGAGACAGUAAAACCUCUGUCAUUCUUGAGCCCUCACAAGUCAAGCAUCUCGGCCAAAGAACUCAGAAAAAUGGUGCAGAUAUAAAGUCACGUGCUGCCUUUCUGUGUCUUCAGACUUUGCCAACCAGGAUGCUUAUAUACACGUCACCUCUACCUUAGACCUGGUUUUCAAAGUGUGAAUGUCAAGCCUGGUGUAAUCCAACUGAGGUUUUAGAAGUAAGUUAACGCUUUUUUUUUUUUUUUUUUAGGGCUGCUCCUGUGGCAUAUGGAGCUUCCCAGGCUAGGGGUUGUAUUGGAGCUACAGCUGCUGGCGUACGCCACAGCCAUAGCAGCACAGGAUCCAAGCCACAUCUGUGAUCUACACCACAGCUCAUGGCAAUGCUGGAUCCUUAACCCACUGAGCAAGGCUAGGGAUCGAACCCACAUCCUCAUGGAUCCUAGUCAGGUUCGUUAACCACUGAGCCACAAAGGUAACUCCCGCAAGUUAAAAUUUUCAUGUUAUGCAUGAUGAAGACAAUUCAAAAUUGGUGCACUCAGGUUUAGCCAAUAGACGUAUAUUGUAAAACCACACAUGCAAGUCACUUAAUGCAAUUUUGCACGUUCUAGAAGAAUGAGUGAAAGCAAUUUUGAUAGCACAUUUUUUUUGGUCCAGUGUAUCUAAAAUAUUAUCAUUUCCAUGUGUAGGCACAUUAAAAGUGUUUGAUAUACUGAGUCUAGAAUCCAGUGCGAAUCUCACACUUACUGCACAUCUGCAUUGGACAGGUGUUUGGUAGAUGUGUGAGGCUGGUGGUCCCUGUAUUGGACAAUAAAGACAAUCUACUGGAAAAAAAAAAAAAA
rnacentral:lncRNA from 1 species